AUGCAGUCGAGCGGAAACGAUGGUAGCUUGCUACCAGGCGUCGAGCGGCGGACGGGUGAGUAAUACUUAGGAAUCUACCUAGUAGUGGGGGAUAGCUCGGGGAAACUCGAAUUAAUACCGCAUACGACCUACGGGAGAAAGGGGGCAGUUUACUGCUCUCGCUAUUAGAUGAGCCUAAGUCGGAUUAGCUAGAUGGUGGGGUAAAGGCCUACCAUGGCGACGAUCUGUAGCUGGUCUGAGAGGAUGAUCAGCCACACCGGGACUGAGACACGGCCCGGACUCCUACGGGAGGCAGCAGUGGGGAAUAUUGGACAAUGGGGGAAACCCUGAUCCAGCCAUGCCGCGUGUGUGAAGAAGGCCUUUUGGUUGUAAAGCACUUUAAGCAGUGAAGAAGACUCCGUGGUUAAUACCCACGGACGAUGACAUUAGCUGCAGAAUAAGCACCGGCUAACUCUGUGCCAGCAGCCGCGGUAAUACAGAGGGUGCAAGCGUUAAUCGGAAUUACUGGGCGUAAAGGGAGCGUAGGUGGCUCGAUAAGUCAGAUGUGAAAUCCCCGGGCUCAACCUGGGAACUGCAUCUGAUACUGUUGAGCUAGAGUAUGUGAGAGGAAGGUAGAAUUCCAGGUGUAGCGGUGAAAUGCGUAGAGAUCUGGAGGAAUACCGAUGGCGAAGGCAGCCUUCUGGCAUAAUACUGACACUGAGGCUCGAAAGCGUGGGUAGCAAACAGGAUUAGAUACCCUGGUAGUCCACGCCGUAAACGAUGUCUACUAGUCGUUGGGUCCCUUGAGGACUUAGUGACGCAGCUAACGCAAUAAGUAGACCGCCUGGGGAGUACGGCCGCAAGGUUAAAACUCAAAUGAAUUGACGGGGGCCCGCACAAGCGGUGGAGCAUGUGGUUUAAUUCGAUGCAACGCGAAGAACCUUACCUGGUCUUGACAUAUCUAGAAUCCUGCAGAGAUGCGGGAGUGCCUUCGGGAAUUAGAAUACAGGUGCUGCAUGGCUGUCGUCAGCUCGUGUCGUGAGAUGUUGGGUUAAGUCCCGCAACGAGCGCAACCCUUGUCCUUAGUUACCAGCGGGUUAAGCCGGGAACUCUAAGGAUACUGCCAGUGACAAACUGGAGGAAGGCGGGGACGACGUCAAGUCAUCAUGGCCCUUACGACCAGGGCUACACACGUGCUACAAUGGUAGGUACAGAGGGCAGCUACACAGCGAUGUGAUGCGAAUCUCAAAAAGCCUAUCGUAGUCCAGAUUGGAGUCUGCAACUCGACUCCAUGAAGUAGGAAUCGCUAGUAAUCGCGGAUCAGAAUGCCGCGGUGAAUACGUUCCCGGGCCUUGUACACACCGCCCGUCACACCAUGGGAGUUGAUUGCACCAGAAGUGGAUAGCUUAACCUUCG
rnacentral:rRNA from 1 species